GGCAGCCCGCAGCGGGGCGGCCGCGCUGCCCCAGGCGCUUUAGAGCGGUUUGUAAAGCGUUAAAACGAGGUUUGAAGCGGCCAAGGGUCGGGCCCUGCCCUUGGGUCGCAACAGCAGCAGGCUGAGUGCAGAGCGUCUGAAAAGCGCCCGGUGGAAACGGACCCGGCGGUGCUGGUCCGCGGCUGCUUAACGAGGACAUUGGCUCCAUAAGGCACCUCCCACCCCAGGGCUGGAUCCUGCUCUGAUGUGAAAACAGAGACUUAACUUCCUGCUGAGCUGCAGGGAGCACAAAGCACACUGGUGACAAAGUCAGCUUUAUUGAUGCAGUAACCUUCAUUCAGCAUGAAGUAACACACAGCAGAGGUGUCCCCUCCUGCCACCUGGGCUGCUCUCACCGUGGCAGUUGUUAGCAUCGAGCUUCCUGCUUUCUUCAUUGGGUCAUAAAAGAAAAUUCAUUGUUCUUCUGUUAUUUCUUCAUUAAAAUACCUUAUUUCUUAAUAAAAAAUGCAC